CAGAAAUGUUUAAUGGAGUCAACGAAAGUUCAAGACAUAGGAUUACUGAGUUCUUUUCCAGCACAAUCGUUUUUUAUUGGAGGCUUGAAGAAAACGACGCAAAGAAAACGGACAGUCACGUUUCUGUCUUCUCAAACAGCAAUGGGGAUGGACCUAACUGAUUACCUGUGGAGCAAAGCACACGAGAAACAUCGGGCUAAGGUGCUGCAGCUAAUGAUGAAGAACGGGAAAAGAUGAGAUGCUGCUUCUUCAAAUUCAGUUUUUUAAAACAACAUUGCAACUGAACUAUGGAUUACUAAAAAUACUGGAAGAAUUCCUGGGUUUCGGAUAUGUCAUUUAGAGCACUUUCAAAUGUUCAAGCGUUUUCAAUUAUGUUUUUACGAUAACACAAUUUAUAGCUAAAAUUUAUUAUGUAGAAAACUUUCAUAUGUGCUUCUGAAUAUUACACUAAUUUUUCUGAAGUUAUUCAAUAAAACCUUCAAUUUGUAAAAGAUAAUUGUAAA